rnacentral:tRNA from 1 species
GUCCCUGUAGCUCAGCUGGAUAGAGCGGCUGCCUUCUAAGCAGCGGGUCGAGCGUUCGAAUCGCUCCAGGGACGCCA